ACGCUGGCGGCACGCCUAACACAUGCAAGUCGAACGAAGUAGCAAUACUUAGUGGCAGACGGGUGAGUAACAUGUAGGUAUCUGCCCUUUGGCCUGGAAUAACACGAGGAAACUUGUGCUAAUACCGGAUAAGUCUUUACAGAGAAAGCUUUAUGCACCAUUGGAUGAGCCUGCACUUGAUUAGUUUGUUGGUGGGGUAAUGGCCUACCAAGACUGUGAUCAAUAGCUGAUUUGAGAGGAUGAUCAGCCACAUUGGGACUGAGACACGGCCCAAACUCCUACGGGAGGCAGCAGUGGGGAAUCUUGCACAAUGGAGGAAACUCUGAUGCAGCGAUGCCGCGUGAGUGAAGAAGGCCUUUGGGUUGUAAAGCUCUUUCGUCGGGGAAGAAAAUGACUGUACCCGAAUAAGAAGGUCCGGCUAACUUCGUGCCAGCAGCCGCGGUAAUACGAAGGGACCUAGCGUAGUUCGGAAUUACUGGGCUUAAAGAGUUCGUAGGUGGUUGAAAAAGUUAGUGGUGAAAUCCCAGAGCUUAACUCUGGAACUGCCAUUAAAACUUUUCAGCUAGAGUAUGAUAGAGGAAAGCAGAAUUUCUAGUGUAGAGGUGAAAUUCGUAGAUAUUAGAAAGAAUACCAAUUGCGAAGGCAGCUUUCUGGAUCAUUACUGACACUGAGGAACGAAAGCAUGGGUAGCGAAGAGGAUUAGAUACCCUCGUAGUCCAUGCCGUAAACGAUGUGUGUUAGACGUUGGAAAUUUAUUUUCAGUGUCGCAGGGAAACCGAUAAACACACCGCCUGGGGAGUACGACCGCAAGGUUAAAACUCAAAUGAAUUGACGGGGACCCGCACAAGUAGUGGAGCAUGUGGUUUAAUUCGAAGAUACGCGCAGAACCUUACCAACACUUGACAUGUUCGUCGCGACUCUAAGAGAUUAGAGUUUUCGGUUCGGCCGGACGAAACACAGGUGCUGCAUGGCUGUCGUCAGCUCGUGUCGUGAGAUGUUGGGUUAAGUCCCGCAACGAGCGCAACCCUCACUUUUAGUUGCCAUCAUUAAGUUGGGCACUCUGAAAGAACUGCCAGUGAUAAGCUGGAGGAAGGUGGGGAUGACGUCAAGUCCUCAUGGCCCUUACGUGUUGGGCUACACACGUGCUACAAUGGUAUCUACAACAGGAAGCAAGACUGCGAAGUUAAGCAAAUCCCUAAAAGAUACCUCAGUUCGGAUUGCACUCUGCAACUCGAGUGCAUGAAGCUGGAAUUACUAGUAAUCGUGGAUCAGCGUGCCACGGUGAAUGCGUUCCCGGGUCUUGUACACACCGC
rnacentral:rRNA from 1 species